rnacentral:tRNA from 1 species
CGCGGGGUGGUGGAGUAGUACCAUGCCAGGCUCAUAACCUGGAGGCAGCCGUGCAAUUCGGCUCCCCGCAA